GAUGAACGCUAGCGGCAGGCAUAACACAUGCAAGUCGAGGGGCAUCGCGGGACCGGCGACGGUUCCGGCGGCGACCGGCAGACGGGUGCGUAACGCGUGAGCGACAUGCCCUUGACCGGGGUAUAACCGGCGGAAACGCCGCCUAAUCCCCCAUGACACCGAUAGGCGCAUGCCCUUCGGUUGAAAGCUCCGGCGGUCACGGAUUGGCUCGCGUCCCAUUAGGCUGAUGGCGGGGUAACGGCCCACCAUACCUACGAUGGGUAGGGGUUCUGAGAGGAAGGUCCCCCACAAUGGAACUGAGACACGGUCCAUACUCCUACGGGAGGCAGCAGUGAGGAAUAUUGGUCAAUGGGCGGAAGCCUGAACCAGCCAUGCCGCGUGCGGGACGACGGCCCUACGGGUUGUAAACCGCUUUUGCAGGGGAGCAACAAGGGGGUUUCGUACCCCCGACGAGCGUACCCUGCGAAUCAGCACCGGCUAACUCCGUGCCAGCAGCCGCGGUAAAACGUGCGUG
rnacentral:rRNA from 1 species